GUAGGUGGCAAGCGUUGUCCGGAAUUAUUGGGCGUAAAGCGCGCGCAGGCGGUUCUUUAAGUCUGAUGUGAAAGCCCACGGCUCAACCGUGGAGGGUCAUUGGAAACUGGAUAACUUGAGUACAGAAGAGGAAAGCGGAAUUCCACGUGUAGCGGUGAAAUGCGUAGAGAUGUGGAGGAACACCAGUGGCGAAGGCGGCUUUCUGGUCUGUAACUGAUGCUGAGGCGCGAAAGCGUGGGGGAGCAAACAGGAUUAGAUACCCUGGUAGUCCACGCCGUAAACGAUGAGUGCUAAGUGUUAGGGGGUUUCCGCCCCUUAGUGCUGCAGCUAACGCAUUAAGCACUCCGCCUGGGAGUACGGCCGCAAGGCUG
rnacentral:rRNA from 1 species